UCCUAGACAUUUAUACCAACUAACCAGUCAGUCCUCAUCGGUCUCUCUCUCGCCUCAGAACAUUCCUCAUGGGCUGUAGGGAAUAGGGCGCCAUUCAGGAUACAGUCAAUCCAGUGUCCCUUUACGUCUCUCUUACCAAAUCAGAGUGGCUCAAUCACAAAACAUAAACAUCUUCCCUCGUGUAGUUUUACCUCUCCAGCUGUUCCAAAAAAAAAAAAACCCACAAAGGCAUCACCAUGGGAACAAACAGAGAACAUCAGAACGACGGGGCUGAGACUCCGACCGCAACUGGUUCCCAAAACACAACCAAAACACAAACCAAAACACUUUGGAGAAGAUCGUCUUAGACAGCAUAAUUUNNNNNNNNNNUCCUAGACAUUUAUACCAACUAACCAGUCAGUCCUCAUCGGUCUCUCUCUCGCCUCAGAACAUUCCUCAUGGGCUGUAGGGAAUAGGGCGCCAUUCAGGAUACAGUCAAUCCAGUGUCCCUUUACGUCUCUCUUACCAAAUCAGAGUGGCUCAAUCACAAAACAUAAACAUCUUCCCUCGUGUAGUUUUACCUCUCCAGCUGUUCCAAAAAAAAAAAAACCCACAAAGGCAUCACCAUGGGAACAAACAGAGAACAUCAGAACGACGGGGCUGAGACUCCGACCGCAACUGGUUCCCAAAACACAACCAAAACACAAACCAAAACACUUUGGAGAAGAUCGUGUGUGUGUGUGUGUGUGUGUGUGCGUUAGUGUGUAUUAAUGUGUGUGUCAUUGUCACUUUUUGAGUGGCUGGUAGACAGAAGCGUUGGGAUCCAGGGAGGAGGGACUAUUGUCCAUGAACUUGGAGGAGUAGUGUGGCGUAACCGGGCUCAGGCUGCUGCUGUCGUUGCU
rnacentral:lncRNA from 13 species